GGAGAACGCUGGCGGCGUGCUUAACACAUAGCAAGUCGAACGCUGAAGCUUGGUGCUUGCGACUGGGUGGAUGAGUGGCGAACGGGUGAGUAAUACGUGAGUAACCUGCCCUUGACUCUGGGAUAAGCCUGGGAAACUGGGUCUAAUACUGGAUACGACAUGUCACCGCAUGGUGGUGUGUGGAAGGGUUUUACUGGUUUUGGAUGGGCUCACGGCCUAUCAGCUUGUUGGUGGGGUAAUGGCUCACCAAGGCGACGACGGGUAGCCGGCCUGAGAGGGUGACCGGCCACACUGGGACUGAGACACGGCCCAGACUCCUACGGGAGGCAGCAGUGGGGAAUAUUGCACAAUGGGCGAAAGCCUGAUGCAGCGACGCCGCGUGAGGGAUGACGGCCUUCGGGUUGUAAACCUCUUUCAGCACGGAAGAAGCGAAAGUGACGGUACGUGCAGAAGAAGCGCCGGCUAACUACGUG
rnacentral:rRNA from 1 species